ACUCAAAUGAAUUGACGGGGACCCGCACAAGCAGCGGAGCAUGUGGUUUAAUUCGAAGCAACGCGAAGAACCUUACCAGGGCUUGACAUCCCACUGAUUGGUGUAGAGAUACGCCUUUCCUUCGGGACAGUGGAGACAGGUGGUGCAUGGUUGUCGUCAGCUCGUGUCGUGAGAUGUUGGGUUAAGUCCCGCAACGAGCGCAACCCCUAUUUUUAGUUGCCAGCAUUUGGGAUGGGCACUCUAGAGAGACUGCCGGGGAUAACUCGGAGGAAGGUGGGGACGACGUCAAAUCAUCAUGCCCCUUAUGUCCUGGGCUACACACGUGCUACAAUGGCCGGAAACAGAGGGUAGCGAAGCCGUGAGGUGGAGCCAAUCUCAUAAACCCGGUCUCAGUUCGGAUUGUGGGCUGCAACUCGCCCACAUGAAGUCGGAGUUGCUAGUAAUCGCGGAUCAGCACGCCGCGGUGAAUGCGUUCCCGGGUCUUGUACACACCGCCCGU
rnacentral:rRNA from 1 species